CACAUCAUCCUUUAAUUCACCUCUUUUUCAGUCUGUUUCCUGCCCUCUGUCUGUCGGUUACUUCCACUGACUAAAGCCCUGUGGAGGUUUUAACAUUAUUGAAGCACUUGUCCAGCCUUUAAUCUGUGACUUGGGGCUGUCAUUAUCCAUCAGAGGUGACACUCUGUCCCUUCCAAUUUCCACCCUGCGUCCAUCUCCCUGUCUCACACCUGGACUUUGAAUCUUCUCUUUGCUUCUGUCUGCUUCAUAAAUAUUCAGCAUGCCGACCAGUAAUUUACACACACAAUCUGCCACUCCCCAUCACUCCCUCACCCAGAUACAUGGACAUUGACAUCCCUCUCUGUCCUAAUCUGCUUUUAUGUCCUUUAUAUCUGUCCUCUCCCUCUCCUCCAUGACUCUUGUCUACUUUAUCUGCUUUUGACUUCCCUCUCCUCUGACUGUGCAUCACAUUUCACUUUGUCUCUUAAACACUAACAUAUUUUGCUGAAAGGCAAAAACAUCAGGGACAAAUACAAGUAUAGUGCUGAGCUUUAAACUGUGCGGUUCAAGGUCUUUGGACGAACAAAAGCAGCUGUUUAUACAAACUGUAAAAACAAGGCCAAAUUCACUGUUUGUGGAAUUUUCAACCACAUUACGACGCCUUUGUCAGCAGGCAGUUUUGCUCACUUGUCAAAUGGUGUAGUUGUUAUGAUGUUUUUUUUUCCUCCAUUUUGACAGUAAAAAUUUUGUUCUAUCAUUUUUGUGUCUUAGUGAAAAGUGUGCCGCACAAAAACCUGUUUUUACUCUGUUAGGAUAUGGCUGAUCCACUUUUUGUUUCUCUUUAUAGAUAAGUUAAGUUGUGUGGCAACUUUUAGAGAUGCUACAUUCAUUUUUUUCACAUUCAGUAAAGAAGAAGCAAAAUCCAAGGACAACUCUGUAUUUUUGAAACUUGUGUCAGGAAAACAAUAAUUCACUUGCUUUUUUCCUUCAUUAGGGGAUGUAAAACUUCGACUCGUUCUAGUUUUGGUUGAAAAGUCAAAACGUUUUUAAAGAACUGUCGAUGGUAGUGCUGGCAAAAAAGAGCAACAUCAAAUAUCAAAUUGACGUCACCCUGGUAGCUUGUAGGACUGCCACAUUUAAUUAGAAUUUUGAGUGUUUAUUUCAAAUUUCGAGUUUAAUCUUGAAAUUUCAAUUUGAAAUUUUGACUUAUUGGCAUAGUUUAGAUUUUUUUUAAUCACAAAAUUUCAACUUUAAUCUUCUUCCUGUAAUUAUUGUUUUUUUCUGUUCAUGUGGCCCGUAUCCUCUUUCGUAUACACCUCAUGUUCCUCGUGCUUGAUUUAUAAAAAAAAAAAAAAGUAACAGUGGUAGUAGCUGGUUGUGUCAUAGUUAUACCCAUGGUGCUCUUGGUGCAAUGCAAAUAAGUGACAAAGUGGAUGCAAGGCUCUCCAACUAACUUGGCCUGUUCCAGGAGUGCAUUGCUUGUGAACGUUAUGGAUUUUGAACCUCUGAUAAUCUACCUUACACAUCAAUGAAAAAUAAUCAUGCUUUAUCAGAAUUUUGAUCAUCAGUGAUGUAUUUUUAUCUCUCAAAGAAAUUCAUCCUGCCGUUUUUCAAUUGUAGAACAAAUCACUCACUAUGCAGUAUAAUUUUAUGGUUGUGAUUGCUGGAUUUCUAGUACCCCUAAACAGAGAAUAAAACAAUGCACUCUGUUACUUUGCCACUUUUUUUUGCGAUUAUCCUGGUUUCUUUGUGUUUUCAGUCAUCCAUUCCCUUACCACUCAUAAAUCCAUGAAAGGUAACAAGAGCACAGAGGGGCAAAUGCUUUAACACCCCUUCAACACAUACAAAGAAAUGCUCUGACUGUGAACUAACAUGGCUGGAGGCUGGAUGUGUACCAAAGUGUCCAAGAGUUGAGGUUACGAAAAUCAAGGUGAGGGAAAGAGGGAAACGAAGGAAGAGCAGAGACAAAAUGCAAGAAGAGACAGAUGGAAAGAGAUGAAUAGAGGAGGCAGCAGUGAGAAAGGAUGGGAGAGUCUAUGUGAGAGUACAGCUGGGUUGGAAAACAGUGUAUAAUCAGUUUGGUUGGUCUUGGGGUUGGGUCUGUUGUUUGGUCUGCUGGUCACAGGCAGGACAUUUACACUCUGUGUCUCACACAUAAAUCAUGUCAUAUGGCUGAACGCACAGACACUGCCAGCGUUUUAGCUCCCACAAUACUCUGCUCUGUGUGGCACACCCUGCUUUUUUACACACACAUAAACACACACACUGGGUACAGUAGGACUCAGUAUCUACACAUGUUAUACUGUUUGUACUCUCAUGCAGACAUUAUGUAUAAACUUACACACCUAGGCUUGUACAAGGAUCUAAACACAGAAUACUUGAACAUACACCUUGAUAAGUACACACAGCUCAGCCAGUCACAUGUCUCAGUGUGGAGGUGUUUGAUAUGCAUGAGUCUGAGAGAAAGUGUUUGUCUUUCCACAGAAGGUAUUGAUAAAUCUUACACGCCACUCACUGCAGAGCUGCACAGCAAACAUAGGAGGGGAUUUAAAACAUGAUGUGACUGCUGUUAGUUUUACAUUUGUGGCUCUGAUGUUGGUUCAUCUCAUUGCGGAGCCUCGCUGCACACUGGAUUGAUUCCUUUACCUCUGUGUUUAUAGUGAUUCAGGCCAAGUUAUAUCAUAGUCCAGAUUGUAAAAAAGAAAAAAAUGAAAAGGGGAAAAUAAUGUCAAAAGGCUGGGUUAAUGUUCAACUUUUCUUUUUUUUGGUCUAGCAGCCUGACAUCACCAUUGUGAAUCUCUCGUCACGUCACAUUCGGACUGAGCAGUUUGGCAAAAAAAAUGAUCAAGAUAUAUUUUGUCCUAUCAUCUGAUCUCCAUCAUUUUUUGUAUUUUUUAAACUGCCAGUUUUAAAGCAUCUGUACCAAAAACUAAUGAAACUAGAGAUAGUUAAACAUUUCAUUAACAUACAAAGUAAAUAACAAAGCAAAUUGAAUAAGAUAAACUUAAAAAAAUACGGACAUUUUAACUCAACAGUACAACAAACAUGGAUAAAUGUUAAAUAAUAGAGUGAACUAGUUUACAGUCCUGAGUGUUUCUACAGGUAUGCAAAACCCAAAAUAAGCAAAUAGCCCCCUCAGGGAUAAUGAAGACGCCUUAAAAUGUAAACAUUAGAUGAUGUAAACAUAGAUGAUACGAUUGAUUGCUACUUGUGUCGUCAGCAGCGUCAGCCUGUACAGACUCCGCUCGCAUUUUCAUGCUUUCCGCAUAAACACUCAGGAAGUACUUCUUCGAAUGAUUAAACAGAUCUGUCGCAUUGACGGUUUUUGAGGACACUGACUGCCAACAUACCUUGCAUAUCAGCUAAAUUGUUUGUCACUUUGGAGAUAAUCGAACCACCGCCGCACAACUGACAUUAAAUACCUUUUUUUUUCCAACAAUGGCAUCUUCGGAGGAUGACUCAACGUCAUGGCUGGUAUCUAUUUUGCUGCCCUGAGCUCCGCGUUUAGCUCCACGUUCGGUCAUUCUGUCUACUUCCCCUGUUUACUUCUAACGCAACUUACAGAAGUGAGCAGGAAAAGCUCGACUCUGAUUGGCUGUUGUCACACACAUUUCUGCUAUGUUUAAUCAAUUAAAUAUGCUCACUUCUGAUCACUGUGAUCAAACUGAAAUUUAUCAAGAUCAUUAAUCACGACCCCCAGUCCCAUGUCUCAUACACAUUUUGUAACUAUACUCUAUUGUAAUAAGUUAACAUUCAAGCCAGAACCCAAAGUCUUUUCUUACUUCAUUGCAAAGAACCUCCAUCUCCUCUUGUCUAAUGUGAGUGCUUUGCAAAAGCUCCUUCAUUAUAGUAAGAAAGAAAAGGUGAAGAUUUGGAAAUGUCGUGUCAGGUUCUGUUUGUUACAUGAGGUGAGGAGACAAACAAAUACCACGGUCACACCCUCCUGUUUUCUGCCUUCUUCUGUCCCUCUAUGCAGGAUAGAUACUAUCUGGUGCAGGUUCCCCAUGCUCAAGCUCUCUCCUUUUGAUGCUUAUACAAACACGAGAGGCUGAGACAACAGUCUCCAAAAGCUUUGAUGCAAUUAGCCAACAGAGUGUGAAGCAGAAAACCUUUGUAGCUUUGUACACGCUGCGCGAAAACAGUGUUAACACAAAAGGACGCAGAGAUCAGUCAACAGGAGCCGAGUCUCUUUUGUUGAUGCCACUCCAACCCCUGUGUGUCUGUCACAGCCUGAGAGUGAAUCUGACGCUCUUACAAACUGGGAGAGAGAUAGGAGCGGGAAAAAAGGGAGGCUCAGAUGGGAGCUGUGGUAUCCUGUGGUUUGUGAAGGGCAUGAUCAUACAAAGAGAGUGCAUGCAUUUUGGUAGAAACCUUUAAAAGUGUUCUGUUGAAUACAUGACAAAGGUCAGGCAGAGACAGACGACUGAUAAAGCAUACAGGGGAGCAGCCACAAGUGUACUGCUGUUAAAAUUUCACUUUUGUAAAUGCCAGAUUUCUUUGAAAAGAGUUGAAGUUUUCAUCAUAUACUCUAACUGAGAUCUUAGCAAGACACCUUUAACCUUGGAUAACAUAUUUUAGGAUGACCAUUUUCUGAAUCCCCAAAUAGAGGGCACGACUAAGCGGGGGCAGAGUCACAGAGUCGCACAAAGUUAAUUUUGAGAGUUUUUCGGCUAUGGAUCAAGUGUCUUUUAUGCGCUUCUAACUCAGUAAGUCCACGUGACACAAAAUCGAAACUUACGUACAAAACCACAGACAUUUGAAGGCUUUUAUAAACUUCCCCAGACAAAGCCGGACAAUCUGUACAGCCUGGACAGUCCCCAAAACAGAGGACAUGUCCGGGUAAAAGAGGACGUAUGGUCACCCUAACAUAUCUGGUGGUUAAAGCUCGCCCUGCACAUUCAGUGACGUAUGCAGAAGUUGUCAUAUCAGCUCAGUCUUCCUUUCAGCAGCUGACGGAGUAUGCUAUGAAAAGGUAAACAUAUCCUGCAGACCACGGGCUGUGUCAUUAUCUUUUAAAAAAACAACAAAAGCCAGAUAUUCACUUUGAAGACGUACUUCCAUUCGGCUCCAUUCAGUGUGGUAGUGGACAGCUCUGUAGUAUACAGCAGAUUUUCCCAUGUAUGAAUAGGAAUGCAGCUCCGUGACUGUUUGACCUGUCAGUGACUGUUUAGCUGACUGGCCUUACUUAAGUUUAACUCGGCCUGGCACCACCGGGACUUCCUUCUCCCGGUUAAUUUGCCAGCAAAAAGCAGACCAACACCAGCGGCAACGCUUAGGAGAUACAGAAAGAAAAAAGAGAGGGAGAGAGAGGAAGGAAAAAGAGGAAGGAGAAAAAGGGAGAGAUUCAGAGGAUGAGAGAGUGAGCGAGAGAGAGAGAGAGAGAGAAAGAGUGGCAACUCUGCUUGUAAAAGUACAUGAAAUGGAGUAAGAGUUGAGGAGGAAAAAGACAGACCGUAAGCAAAAGUGCGAGGGAGAGUGAAAAACAGCAGGAUGAGAGUGUUUGGCGAGCUAAUUCCCAGAUAUCGACGUUGCUUUGAUUAGUAACUGGAGGGAACCUUUUAAUGAGAGGCAUUCUUUAAUCAAACCCCAACAUCACACAGCCCACCAAGCUAUCUCCUGUACGAGGGGAGGGGGGCGAUGAUUUCCCUCCUCAGACUUCCUCUCUUGCGCAAGUCAACAGAUGAUGAGCCCACCGCUCUCUCUGUCAAACUGAGAGGGUAAUCGCCCGCACAAGUACACACACACAUUCAAGUAAUAUUUUACCUUCAGUGGUCUUAUUGCUCCGGAUUAAGUCCUCCUCUGCGGGGGCUUAAGGAGCUGUGUAUUGAUGUUUCACUUGGCACAUUGGAGCAAUAAUGGGGCAUCGUAUUCUGGGACUCUCUCCAAUACCUGGGCAGUGAUUUUUUUGUCUGGUGUGUGUGUUUCCAUGGUUUUGUGUGUUGGUCUCCUGGGGAAUAUGCGCACUCCAACUCUAGCUGAGUGGCUUGUUGUUGUUGGAGAGUGAGCUACAAGAGUGGGAGAAUAUAAUACAUACCUGAAAGAGAGCGGGAAGGAAAGAGAGAGAGGCAAGGACACAGGUUGGGGUAAAAAGAAAGAAGCGAGACCUUCAGGGACAAACGGUUUGAGCUGUGUGAAAUGUGUGCUCGUGUUCGAGCUAGAGAGGGUUUGUCUCCAUGGUCUCCAGUGCGCUCAUUAGGAAGUUGGGACAGCGUCUUAGAGCCCCUCCCUUUCCCAAGAGACAGACAGGAGCUAAUUAGAGGUCUGUCCUCCUCCCUGACAUAUACACAUCCCCUCUG
rnacentral:lncRNA from 1 species